rnacentral:rRNA from 1 species
CAGCAGCCGCGGUAGUACGUAGGUGGCAAGCGUUGUCCGGAAUUAUUGGGCGUAAAGGGCUCGCAGGCGGUUUCUUAAGUCUGAUGUGAAAGCCCCCGGCUCAACCGGGGAGGGUCAUUGGAAACUGGGAAACUUGAGUGCAGAAGAGGAGAGUGGAAUUCCACGUGUAGCGGUGAAAUGCGUAGAGAUGUGGAGGAACACCAGUGGCGAAGGCGACUCUCUGGUCUGUAACUGACGCUGAGGAGCGAGAGCGUGGGGAGCGAACAGGAUUAGAUACCCGGGUAGUCCCUGUCUCUUAUAC